UGAACACAGGUGCUCAGAUAUC
rnacentral:piRNA from 1 species